AACAAAGUGGGUAAAAGUAUUAAGGGAGUAUUUAGUGGAAUGUCAAAAAGUGUUUGAUUAAAAGCUGGAAUCAACAUGUUGAGUUUACUUAAGACUCAGGAUUGUUUCUUUCAGAUUCGGUGAUUUCAGUGGGCAGGACAGGCUUCUGGGCUGUGUGCCACAUGCCAAAAUAGCCAGAGCUGGUGUUCAUGGGCUAUGCAGGUAAUAGGCCUUGAUUUAGUUUCAUGGACACUAAACCUUUUAUUUAACAUGAGAUAUGUACCAAAGAAAUUCACAUUAAAUGGAAUUCAUUAGUGUAAUUUCAAUGGGAUUUAUUAAUUGGAGACUGGUGGGACUGGGUUGGCUCAAGGAAAUUAGAUACAAUAUAUACUGCUACAGUGCUGCUGCAAACAGGAGACAGUAGAGGUAGCUGAAAGAAAAUGUCAGACAGUGUGUAGAUACUCCAUUCUCGAAGGCAUUUAUGUCAUAAGGUGAAGGUGAUACAGAUGAAGCAAGGCUAUUCCAGAGUUUACCAGCAAUUCUGAUUAAUUCUUGCAUAAAAGAUUAAGACACUAAGGGGAGAUGCAGUAGAGUAGAGCCAUAUAAGUAUAAAUUCAAACAGCUAUGGAGCACAGCUAUGCAACAGGGCAGUGAGGGCAUGGAGGCAGCGGUGAGAGAAGUGGUGAUUGUAAUCAAGCACUGGACAGCACAGAAAACUAAGGCGCACCAUGUGCGUGUAUAAGUUACGAGCUGAAUCCGGUGCACACAAAUUUAAGCUAUCGUUGAAUUUGAAACUUGAUUUAGCAGUUGCCUGUGUGUGUAUUCAAUCGAAAAAUAAAAUCAACCAACAAGCAGGCUGCAUUCCCUUUCCCCUACACCAGGAGGGUAAGAGGUUUAGAAGAGGAUUAACCCUUUCCAUAUGGUGAUGCCGACGUCGGCGUCACCGUAUUGAAGGAGUUAAUUUAUUGAUCCCCACCAACAGUUGUAGGCAAAUAAACACCUUCAUAUUGUUCAGGGUAACAUUACGCCACUUCAGUCCCACGAAUUUGUGAGGGUUUUUUAAUGGAUUUUCCCUGAAGUACUUCUGGGCCCGCUCGUUGGUCCACAAACAGAGUCGAUGACAUCAUAGGUAAUAAAAAGCUGAAAACAGCCCACAGCACUCGGGUUUUUCCCUGUGAAGUGUAGGUAGUGGAGAUGGCCUUUGGUCAACAAACAGAUCUGACAAGAUAGUGAAGGCAGGCCACAUGUCACCCAGCAACAAUGGCGAGGCUACUCAUCUCACUCUCUCCACUUGUACUAUAGGUAUUACUGUCAUUUUCUGGGAUAUAGUCAUCAUCUGAUUCACCCACUGAUAUGUCUGACUUGAGUUUCAUCAUCAUCAGACCCUUCCAAUUCACUAGCAAGCUGUGAAUGUGACAAAGCCAUUAUGAUAACAAAAACAAGGCGUGACACCACGGGACCUCACACACGUAGAUUGAGGGGAGGUCAGUGGCCCUGAGGUGAUUGUGGGUGGCGUGCAUUGUGCUAAGAUGCCUAAUAAAACUACAGGUAACUCGAUUUACGUGAGUAUUGUGUUCUUGAAGAGGUCACGUAAAUCAAAAACAAUGUAAAUCAAACAAGAGGUAGGUUUGUACCUUUAUAGCCUACUGUAUCACUCUGACUCUCCCUCUCGUGGUUCCUCCUCUGGCUGCCCUUCCCCUUGUGGUUCCUCUUCUCACUGUUCUUCCUCUUGUCCUUUCCUUUUGAAGAAAGAAGUCAUUGUUGUCUGCACCGUCUUCCGUUGUUUUUUUCGCAACAUCUCUUGAUAACACCCAAAGUCUGCCAACAUUUUGCGAGAGACUGCAGAGCUUCUCUGUACAUUUGGGUCAUUUUCUUCUAUUAAAUCCAGUGCUUCUCUUAUUUUGUUCAUAGCUUCUGAUAGCACCUUAAGUGUAAGCACUCGUUCUUGUUCUGGAGCUCCUGAUGCUUCUGCUUCCUCCUGUUCCUUCACUCGCACUCUCUCCAACUCCAGUAGAUCUUCAUUACUUAAUUCAACACGAUGAGACUGUAGCAACUCAUCAAUUUCAUCUUCCUCUACUUCGUCAAAUCCAAGCUUCUUGGCCAGUACCACCGUCUUUUGUUUUGCAGCUGUAAUGUCGUCUUCAACAGAGAAUCCUUUGAACCUGUAGACAAACUGUGGGCAGAGUUGUUUCCACACACUAUUGAGGCACUUGGAUGGCACAUCAUCCCAAGCCAUCUUCAAGAAAUUGAGAGCAUCCUUUAUGUUAAAGUUACGCCAGUAAUCCCUCACACUGAUGCCUUUCUCGUUUGUAACUUUCACCAAGUCAGCCAAGGUAGAUUGGAGAUAAUAGGAUUUGAAUGUCUGUAUUACACCCUGGUCUAAAGGUUGAAGUAGGGAUGUUGUAUUUGGUGGCAAAAAUACAAGUUUGAUGUUUUCGCUGAUGUCAGUCAGUGUAUGUGGGUGGCUGGAAGCAUUAUCCAACACCAGCAAAAUCUUGAAAGGGAUGCCUUCUUGUUUACAGUAGACCUCCAACUCGUGGUGCAGCUUAUUCUUAUAGUAGUCGCUGAACACAGACGAUGUCAUCCAACCCUUCUUGUUUGCAUACCAGUGACAGGGAAGGAAGGACUUGAAAAAGACACAAGAUUGUAGAAACAGAAAAUGAGAAUCUCAAGGACACGCACGUGCAUGUGUGUGUGUGUGUGUGUGUGUGUGUGUGUGUGUGUGUGUGUGUGUGUGUGUUGUCCCUCCCUCCCUCACACACAACAGAAAAUGGGAAUCUCAAGGACGUGUGUGCGUGCGUGUGUUUUCAUUCACAUUCUCUAUUCUUUUCUCAUGUAUAAUCAUAUGCCACCACUAGUAAUGUAAUUACUAAAUAUAGAAAAAAUCUUACCUUGAGGGCUCUAGGAUUCUCUGAAUGGUAGAUGAGCACUGGUUUCAGCUUGCAGUUCCCCUCUGCAUUGCAUCCAAGCGGUCCUUGGAGGCUUUGAACCCUGGUGCUGUGGCUUCUUCUACAGAGAUGUAUGUUCUGUUGGGUAUUUUUUUCCAGUAUAAACCAGUCUCAUCUACGUUAAAAACUUGCUUGGCAGAAUAGUCCCCUUCUUCGAUGAUAGUUUUAAGGAUGGCAGGGUAUGCACUAGCAGCUUUCUUGUCUGCAGAAGCUGCUUCACCAGUCAUCUUAAUGUUGUGGUAUCCAUACCGCUUUCUGAAGUUUGCAAACCACCCUGAGCUUGCACUGAAAUGUUUUUUGUCAUCACCUUCAAGGUCAUCAUAGAUGGACUUCGCCUUAGCUUGAAGAAGGCUCAUGCUUACAGGAACACUUGAUUUGUUUUGAUGGUCAACCCAAGUCGAGAGCAGUUUCUCCAUUUUUUCCAUUAUUUGUGGCCUUGAAUAUGAAGUCGUCGUUGACAUCAAUGUUGAUCCUGCUUUCACACUGGCCCGAAUCUUCUCUUCAUUACUCCGAAUGGUACGAAGGGUGCUCUCACAUAUUACCAUAGCGUGAACAAUCACCGAUGUCUUCUGGCCCUUCUUAUAGCGGUCUAGCACUUCCAUCUUCUGCUCCAGUGUUAGAGAUUUCCUCGACUUCUUGGUGGCACUUCCUGCACCUUGAGAUUGUAAAGCACGCUUGGGAGCCAUGGUAAACACUUAAAUAAGAUGAGAGGUAGCACAGCAGUGAGGGUGUUGUUGUCGAGAAGCAUGGCACGUGGCAUGCGGGAAGAAUUGAGCUCAGCUGUGUGGCUGCGGCGCCGGGUGAGUCCAGUUGCGUGAGACAUCUUUUGGCCACUCCAUAAAAUAUCGCAUAUAAGUGGAAAAAACAUGUAAAUUAAACAUCUAUUUGGAUUUUGGACCCCGCGUUAUUUAAAAAACGCGUAAACCAAACUCACGUAAAUCGAGUUACCUGUAUUAUUUUCUACUUAUUUUUAUCAUGUAGGCCAAUAUAUAUAUAUAUAUAUAUAUAUAUAUAUAUAUAUAUAUAUAUAUAUAUAUAUAUAUAUAUAUAUAUAUAUAUAUAUAUAUAUAUAUAUAUAUAUAUAUAUAUAUAUGCCCAAAACAUUAGGAAUAAUCAAAUAUCCAAAAUACCCAGUUGACUUCAAUAAUGGCCUGAUAUAAACUUUUACAUGGUCGGAGCAAGGCCAUUACAAAAGAAAUGAUGUCAGAGUCAAGGCUACCAGUUCUCUCAACAACAUGUAUCUCAAUUAAUGCCCAAACCAACACUCCUACCCUCCUGUAACUUCCAAUAAUAAUCAGGUGGUUUACCCCUGUAAACCUAACGGUUUGCGGUUCCUCACCUGAAGUUUUUUGGGGUUUACUAGAGUAAACCUAAUCAAUUUCAGUAAUGAAGGGGUUAAAUUAAAUUGCAAACCUCUCCACAAAUGUAAACAAGGUGCCGAUCAUUUCUAAACCAACAAUGGCAACUCUUUUCUAAAGUAACAACACAUAACAGUAGUACUUACCCGGUACUUCAUAUAAAAUAACACCAGUCAGGAAGAAAAUUAAGUGACGACACUUAACCCUUAAACGGGAACAUGACUCCAGGUGGAGUCACGACUUCCUGGUUUCGAAAGGCGCGCUAUUUUUUUCACUCGCGCCUUGCAACAAAGCUUGUGUGGGAGAGUCGAUCUUCAGUGUGUCAUCAGACCUUGAGGGAAACAGAUGUGCUCCACGCUAGAGUUGCUCCUUCUAUCUUAAGUAAGGGCUGUGACGCCAGCUGGACCCACACCGUCCGUUUGUGAAUUUUUUUUUAGGGGGAACGUAGGGGGGGACAACAUUGUUUAUAGGCCUGUAUAUGUGAUAUAUAGGGCCUUAGUACCUGUACCUCAUGCUAAAUAUGUUCUGUGGGACUUGAUAAGAGUUCUCUGGGAAAGCAACAUCUCAUAGUGAUAGGUUUCGCCGGUUGUUCAUGCACCAACUUGCCAUGGAUAUGGCAAAACUAUGUGCUAUGAAGAGGUUGGAUAAUCCUAACCUCAGCAGAACACUGGUGACAACUAUCAAAAGCUGCUUCAACAUUGUUGAAGUUCAAGUCCAGCAGCCUACACCACCAUCCGGCAAGAAGAGGUGCCACAUUUGCCCUUGGAAGACUGCAAGCAAAUGUAGAACAGUUUGCGCAAGGUGCAACAAGGUAACCUGUCAGCGACACUAUGAGAUCUACUGCACAGACUGCCAAGAUAUGUAAAUAAAUGUUUGUAUAUUCACGGAAAAUAUAUUUUGUAUUUUGAUCAUAGGUAAUUUUGCUGGUAUGCAUAUUCUGUUUAUUUACUUGCUUAUUUACAAAAAAAAAAAAAAUAAAUAAAUAAAAAAUAUAAAAAAUUAUCAUUUUCAGUUAUUUCUAAUAGUAUAUAUUUAUUAUCAUAAAUUAUUUUGUGUGUAUGCAUUUUGUGUUUAUUUAUUUAUUUACAUGUUUAUUUAUAAAACCACAUGCAAGAAUUGUUCAUAUUCAUUUGGUCAGAGCACCACAUUUGGAUUGCAGGAUAGACUUUUUACACCAUUUAUUUGAAAGACCAACCAUUUUAGUUAGAGAAUAUUAAAUUUUCUUACUUUUCUUUUCGAAGGAUUCUUGUUUAAACAUUAUAUGGCAAAGUCACUAUUUUUUUCAAUAAAUUUUUUGUAAUAAAUCAUGAAAAUUAAAUAUGAUCAUAAAUUUCCUUGUUUUUACUUUCAUUGUCCUACAAGAUGUUUUCUUUUUCAAUUCUGAUGCAGUGUAACUCAAUAAAGAUGAUCCAUAUAUUUUUUUUUAAAUAUUUUUGCAGUGGGUCCAAAUGGAGUCACGGCUCUACUAGUGUGAGUCAAUUUGGGUGCUACCGUUUAAGGGUUAACCAUGCAUGUACCUCAACAAACUAGUGAAUGGCUGUACACCAAACUUGACGACACGCACAAGACCCAUUGUGUUUCCAUAGUGUGAGGCCAAGAAUCAUUGAGGUAAGACCAACCUUCUUCAUAAAACUGUUUAACAUUGUUUAGUUGAUAGAACACACUACAGUCGUCCCUCAAAUAGUACGGGGGUUAGGGACCCAGGACCCCUGUACUAUUCGAAAAUCCGUAUAAAAUUAGUGUCCCCCCUAGAAACACUCCUGGGCACUCCUACAGAAUCCGAGUCCCGCCUGGCUCAGCUGUUACCCACGGGCCCAAGUUGCCAGUUAUGCAUUUUCUGCUGCAGUCACAGUGUAGUGUUACCACACUGGGGGGGUCGACGGGGGCAAAAAACCCCCAUUAGAGGUCAGGAUAUUUAAUAUUCCAUUGGAGUAGUUUAAAUAUGCGUCCCUUAACUUAUAUGAUAUGGAGGCGUAAUGUCAUAUUUUAGAGGCACUGAGUCAAUCUCCACAAUUACCGUUUCGUAUCUUGUUUCAAGUAUGAAUUAGAGAGCAAUAGAAACUGUGGUACAGAGUAAGAGAGAGUGUGAGUGUAUGACAUGGCUCGCUUGCUGACAAUGUGGAAGGCAGCGCUGCCAGGAUGGCUCCGUUGCCCAGCGUGGAAACAGUACAGCAGAAAAUGCAUAACUGGCAACUUUGGCCGGCGAGUAGAAGGUGAGCCAAGCGGGAACCUGAUUCACGUGGUAAGCUCUCCCUAUCGCAACGUAACUCGUACCAAAACGUACCUUCUUCAAAAUCUGAAUUCUUCUGCAAGGUAAAUAGCUUUCUCGAACACAUUGGGGUGCAUUCAGCAGGUGUUUUGGCUUGUCUCUUGGGGCCCUUGUUCAUGUUAUGUGGUAAUGGAGAAGCGUAGCUGAAGUUGUGCACACACACGGACUUAGGGAAAGCGCAUAGGUUUCAAUCUGGCAAAACAGUGUUCCUGAUGUUGUGCACACACACGGACUGAGGGGAUAUGCAUGGGUGGGGCAGUCUGGUAGAACAGUGUUGCCACUCACGCCAUGGCUACUUGGUGCGAUGAGCGGGAAAUUUAAAAAUCCUAAAAAGAUCUUCCAUGACAAUCCGUAUAAAAUCGAAACCGUACUAUUGGAAACCGUACUAUUUGAGGGAUGACUGUAUAUGGAUAAUUUUGACAAGAUAUCGAAAAGAUAGGUUAAUAUUCAUUAUUUACAAGUGCCUGUUUUUCCAUUUUGCAUUCAUCUUUUAACAUUCUUACCUUAUGUACAUGUUCAACAAACCUUGAAAUUUCUUGAUUCAUCAUGGAUUCACAGAAACGACACACCUACAUGCCAUAUUAAAGCCUUUAAAUGUUAAAUAUUGAGAUUUAACAAAGAUCUGAACACA